AAAUGAAUAGACGGGGACCCGCACAAGCAGCGGAGCAUGUUGUUUAAUUCGAAGAAACGCGAAGAACCUUACCAAGGCUUGACAUCGUAUGCAUAGUCUAGAGAUAGAUGAAAUGGUAGUAAUACCACAUAUAGACAGAUGGUGCAUGGUUGUCGUCAGCUCGUGUCGUGAGAUGUUGGGUUAAGUCCCGCAACGAGCGCAACCCUUGUCAUUAAUUACCAGCAUUAAGUUGGGGACUAUAAUGAGACAGCCGUAGAUAAUACGGAGGAAGGUGGGGAUGACGUCAAAUCAUCAUGCCUCUUACGCCUUGGGCUACAAACGUGCUACAAUGGCCACAACAAAGAGAAGCGAGAUAGUAAUAUGGAGCGAAUCUCAAAAAAGUGGUCUCAGUUCAGAUAGUGGGCUGCAACUCGCCCACUUGAAGACGGAGUUGCUAGUAAUCCCGAAUCAGCAUGUCGGGGUGAAUGCGUUCCCGGGUCUUGUACACACCGCCCGU
rnacentral:rRNA from 1 species